GACGAACCGUGCGAACGUUAUUCGGAAUCACUGGGCUUAAAGAGCGCGUAGGCGGCGUCGUAAGUUGGAGGUGAAAUCCCAUCGGCUCAACCGUGGAACUGCCCCCAAUACUGCGAUGCUUGAGAGAGGUAGGGGCAUGUGGAACUUCCAGUGGAGCGGUGAAAUGUGUUGAGAUUGGAAGGAACGCCAGUGGCGAAAGCGGCAUGCUGGAUCUCUACUGACGCUGAGGCGCGAAAGCUAGGGGAGCGAA
rnacentral:rRNA from 1 species